rnacentral:lncRNA from 1 species
AUAAAAUGGCGGCGUCCGUGUGAGCAACCACGACGAAACUUUCUGUCGAAAAUACUGCAGAUUGUUCAGCAGUAAAACUUGAUUUUCCGUGUACAUGUUGCACAACAGUGGAUGAACUACGUCAUCGAUCAUACAAAAGCACGCGCUUUGGGUCAGUGCUACACGAAGCGGAAGCGAGUGUAAAGGAAAUAUUGAGCACAUAAAUUCUGUUUAUCUUCGCUGUUUCCUGUGUUGAUAGAUCAAUUGGAGGGACAUGCUGAAUGCCAGAAGAAAUUACAGACAACAAUACUGCUCAGUGCAGUAACCAGACCUAAAAAAAAAACACUGCUCAAGGCAAACUUUUGGGACAGAGUGCUGCAUACAUGGGCUUAUGCACAAACUGAGAUUUUGCAAGUCAACUGUCAAAGUCAUAAAGAGAGAUCUAUAGUGGACAAUGUUGAACAGAGUUGAAGUCCUGGAAUCUCGGUCAACUGCAGAUAGCAGCAUG